AUUAUCUAAAGGUUGAGGACUGCAACACGGCAAGAGCUGUUCUUGCUUUAGAAUCUUCAUACAAGUGGGCCUUAACUGGUAUAUCCCUGAAAAACCGUAUAAGAGAGUUGUACUCAACUGUUCGUUUCUUACAAGCUAAGCCUUAUGCUUAUCACUUUUGCAAAGAUUGUGAUUGCAAAGCACUUGAUUAUAGCAGCUUCUCAACUGAGUGUGCACAGUGCCACCACAAACCUGCACGCCACUUUCUCUG